rnacentral:rRNA from 1 species
ACAGAGGGUGCGAGCGUUAAUCGGAAUUACUGGGCGUAAAGCGCGCGUAGGUGGCUUUGUAAGUCGGGUGUGAAAUCCCCGGGCUCAACCUGGGAACUGCAUUCGAGACUGCAUUGCUAGAGUAUGGAAGAGGGAAGUGGAAUUUCCGGUGUAGCGGUGAAAUGCGUAGAUAUCGGAAGGAACACCAGUGGCGAAAGCGACUUCCUGGUCCAAUACUGACGCUCAAGUGCGAAAGCGUGGGGAGCAAACAGGAUUAGAUACCCUGGUAGUCCACGCCAUAAACGAUGAGAACUAGAUGUUGGGAGGGUUAGCCUCUCGGUGUCGCAGCUAGCGCGUUAAGUUCUCCGCCUGGGGAGUACGGCCGCAAGGUUG